GUGGGCCUUAGUCGGAGGUGUCAAGGUCGAGUGUGUCGGUCGAGUGUGUCGAUUACGAAAUUCGCCAUAUUUUGUGUUUCGCACUCGAUGCCUCAUUUGACGGUCAACACCAGACAGAACCGUGAUGAAGCGUAAUGGCAGCCCAAAGAAGAUGCAGAGGACAGAACAGAUGUGUCAUAUAUCCAAACCUAACAACCUAAGUAUGGACAUUGCAAUUUGUGCAGGCAACUCGGAUGUUCACAAUGGUCCAGCCCAUUAUUAUGAGGACAUUGCCCCGAGUUCAAACAUUGGCAACUCUGAUGUUCACAAUGGUCCAGCCCAUUAUUAUUAGGACAUUGCCGUGAGUUCAAACAUUGGCAACUCGGAUGUUCACAAUGGUCCAGCCCAUUAUUAUGAGGACAUUGCCCCGAGUUCAAACAUUGGCAACUCUGAUGUUCACAAUGGUCCAGCUCAUUAUUAUGUGGACAUUGCCCCGAGUUCAAACAUUGGUAAGUUUGUGAUUGUGGACUCUUUAAUAGGUGUAAUAUGUAUAUAUUUACAUAGGAUAGCUUGGUGACAUUAGAAACUUUCUUGACCAUUUAUUGCAGAUAAGAUGUGGGCAUUUUCCCACACACAACCUUAAUUUAGCAUUGCAUUAUCACAUAUUUAUAUUUUUAUAGCAUUCACAAUUUAAUAUAGUACUUUAAAUGUAAAUAUAUAUAUAUUAUAAAUAUGUGAAAGUUCAUUUCAGGACCAUUGAUUCAAUCAUAAAUGCCCUAUGUCAAAUUGGCCAUUGACCCAAGAAGCACUAAUGAGGUUCAUGGGAAUUAUCAGUUAGAUGAGGACAGUUAUGAUCAUAUGAAUGUCAGAAAUAAUUUCAUUGCUUUUGUAUAAAAAUAAAACAUUAAAAUGAGCACAAUUGAACAUAUAUCCUUUCUUUGACUUAGAGACAUUCAACUUCACUCCGACUCAGGCACCUGGUAUGGUCCAAGAGACAUUGUUCAUGAAGUGUUUUUUUCAAUUAGUUAAUACAUAUAUUUAGAUCAAGGUCUUGCAUUCAAUUGUCAAAAAUAAAAAUAUAUCCUUGUGUGGGGAUUUUCUGAUUAUGACUUUGUCGUGAUAGAUAUGAUUUAAAAUAACUACUAAUAAUCUUUCUCAAGCAUUGCACAUCUAUGACAGAUUUCAGAUGCUGAAAACGUUAUGGUCACCAUUUCUUCUGUUCUCCAACAAUGCUGCUAUCACUUCUUUGUUCUCUAACCAGCUAUCGGCGGACGAUAUCAAGUCCCAAAUUAGUUUGAAAUUCAUAAUGUUUUAUGUAGCAUUUAUACAAAUAUUUUAUAUAUUU